rnacentral:rRNA from 1 species
AGAGUUUGAUCCUGGCUCAGGAUGAACGCUAGCGGUAGGCCUAAUACAUGCAAGUCGCGCGAACUCUUCGGAGUUAGCGGCGGACGGGUGCGUAACGCGUAUCUAACCUACCCUCUAGAGGGGGACAACAGCUGGAAACGGCUGCUAAUACCCCAUAACACAGCGGGUGCACAUGCACACAGUUGUUAAAGACUUCGGUCGCUGGAGGAUGGAGAUGCGUCUGAUUAGUUAGUUGGUGAGGUAACGGCUCACCAAGACGACGAUCAGUAGCUGGUCUGAGAGGAUGAUCAGCCACACUGGGACUGAGACACGGCCCAGACUCCUACGGGAGGCAGCAGUAGGGAAUAUUGGGCAAUGAGCGAAAGCUUGACCCAGCCAUACCGCGUGGGGGAAGACGGUCCACAGGAUUGUAAACCCCUUUUAUAUAGGAAUAAGGACCUAUUUGUUAGGUUUUGCAGGUACUAUACGAAUAAGCACCGGCAAACUACGUGCCAGCAGCCGCGGUAAUACGUAGGGUGCAAGCGUUGUCCGGAUUUACUGGGUUUAAAGGAUCCGUAGGCGGGAGAAUCAGUCGGCGAUGAAAUCAGGUGGCUCAACCAUCUGGCUGUUGCCGAAACUGUUCUUCUUGAAUUAGAUUGAGGUGGCUGGAAUAGGCAGUGUAGCGGUGAAAUGCGUAGAGAUUGCCUAGAACACCGAUUGCGAAGGCAGGUCACUAAGUCUAUAUUGACGCUGAUGGAUGAAAGCGUGGGGAGCGAACAGGAUUAGAUACCCUGGUAGUCCACGCCGUAAACGAUGGAUACUCGCUGCUCGAACGAUUGCGUUCGAGUGGCUGCGAGAAAUCAUUAAGUAUCCCACCUGGGGAGUACGCCCGCAAGGGUGAAACUCAAAGGAAUUGACGGGGGCCCGCACAAGUGGUGGAGCAUGUGGUUUAAUUCGAUGAUACGCGAGGAACCUUACCUGGGCUCGAAUGGUACCGGAAGGUCCCCGAAACGGGACUGUUUCUUCGGAACCGGUAUCAAGGUGCUGCAUGGUUGUCGUCAGCUCGUGCCGUGAGGUGUUGGGUUAAGUCCCGCAACGAGCGCAACCCCUAUGGUUAGUUGCCAGCAGGUUAAGCUGGGGACUCUAGCCAGACUGCCCGUGCAAGCGGAGAGGAAGGCGGGGACGACGUCAAAUCAUCAUGGCCCUUACGCCCAGGGCGACACACGUGCUACAAUGGACGGUACAGCAGGCAGCGACCCCGCGAGGGCAAGCAAAUCCGCAAAAGCCGUUCUCAGUUCGGAUCGUAGUCUGCAACUCGACUGCGUGAAGCCGGAAUCACUAGUAAUCGCGCAUCAGCCAUGGCGCGGUGAAUACGUUCCCGGGCCUUGUACACACCGCCCGUCAAGCCACGGAAGCUGGGGGUGCCUGAAGUCGUGGGUUAUUCCACGCCGAGGGCAAAACCGGUAACUGGGGCUAAGUCGUAACAAGGUAGCC